GUGCUCACUUCAGCAAUACGUAUACUAAAAUUGGAAUGAUACAAGGAAGAUUAGCAUGGCCCCUGUGCAAGGAUGGCGUGCAAAUUCAUGAAGUGCUCCAUAUUAAA